GUGGUCUCUUCCAGGAUAACAACGCCCCCCCAUCCCACAGGACACCAGUGGUCUCUUCCAGGAUAACAACGCCCCCCCCCAUCCCACAGGACACCAGUGGUCACUGAAUGGUGUUUUGAGGAAGAUGAAAACCAUGUAAACGGUAUCCUCUGGCCGUCUCAGUCACCAGAUCUCAACCCAGUUGAAUAAUUAUGGGAGAUUCUGGAGCUGCGCCUGAGACAGCGUUUUCACCAAUAACAUGGAAUUUCCUGGUGGAAGAAUGAGGUCACAUCCCUCCGAUAGAGUUCCAGACACCUGUAGAAUCCAUGUCAAGAAGAAGGCCAAACCCUCCAAGGAGCCCAAGAAGGAGAAGACAACAGCCGGGGAUUCUGGGAAGGGAAAGGGCAAAGGCAAGGGCAGGAAGUGACCCCUAACCUCUGAGACAACUACCCCCCCCAACCCCACCCCAAAAAACAAACUGUACAACACCCCUCUUCUCUCACCUCCUGAAGAACAAAUCCCUUAAACUGUUUGACGACCACCUACCUGGUCUCAUCACCGGAGUGAGCGGAGACGAAACACCUGGCUCUCCUCUUGAACCCCUAUAAACUUAGGGGCUGUGCAUCCCAAAUGGUACCCUAUAUAGUGCACUACUUCUGACCAGAGUCCUAAUAGGCCCUGGUCAAAAGUAGUGCACUAUGUAGGGGAAUAGAGUCCCCUUUUGGGAUGCAAACACCAUUAUCAAUGUUAGCGCUGUGGAUUUGGAAAGGUCUUGAAUGAUUUUGUGAGUUCGUGUGUGUGUGUGUGUGUGUGUGUGUGUGUGUGUGUGUGUGUGUGUGUGUGUGUGUGUGUGUGUGUGUGUGAUGUAAAUAUGUACCUUUUAUAGUAUUAAAGAUGCUAUAGCUUUCUUACUGCUCAUCGUAGACGGCGCCUUUCUAGUCCAAACCGUAACCGUAGUGACCAACUGAUGGAUCGGAGAACGGCAGAAUAGUUCUUGUGUUUUGUUUUGUUUGUACAGAUUUUCUCUGAUAAAUGACGGCUGUAUUUACGGUAUUUUGUGGUCUGACGUGGUUUCUUUCUGUGUUUAUGGUUGAAAUACAGUCUCUUGAUCUGCAUGGGGUAAGAUAUUGUUGCUGAAACGAUCAAUU
rnacentral:lncRNA from 1 species